UGGUGACACCAAAGAAGCCACAGGCAGCCGACCUGGACUGGAAUCUCUGAAAGAGAUGCCACAGGAGAUUCCAGGGCGUAAGAGAACAGCCCUCCCAAGAGCAGAAGCAUGUUGGAAAUUCUGGACAAGCUGUAUACAGGAUAAUCUCCCGUCCACCUCUCCCCCCUUCUCUGAACAUUAUACACAGAAGUGGCCAGUCUGGACGUUAAAAGAAGACAAGAAAGGAAGAAGGACAAAGAACAGAAUGAGUUAACUGGAAACAAAGAAUUAGCUAGCAAGCUCAGGCUAUAGAUAAGACACUGACUCCAUUCAAGGACACUGCUCACAGUUAAGACUUGGCUAAUAACUAGGAAAAGGAGGGCUUGAAUUUGCCCACGCAGCUAUGAGAUCUGAAAAAAACACUGCCAGGCGCUAAUGAAAUGUGCUAAGUUUCUUUUCUCAAAGGUAAAGAAGCGCUACCCAAAGAACCUAGCAGCCCUGCGACUCCUUGGAACCAGGAGACGGGAUUGAUGUAAAGGUCCGCCAACAAAAGUCUGCUCUGGCUCCACCCUGGAAAGGCCCUUAUUAAGUCCCAGUGACUACCAACAUCGCUGUAAAAUGUCAAAGACUGACUGCUUGGACCCAAGAUUCUCACUGCAAAAAGACUCCUCCACAUUGGGAAAAUUCUCCUACUGAUGAUUAGCCUAUUUCACCUUCUAGCUCCACUGUGCCUUCUGGACAGUAGGGAAAAAGUACAAGGAUGCUGCACCAUGACUGUUUUGGGAAAGAAGAAGGAACACUCGCUCCACUGAAAUUGCCAAAGUCCAGGAAUUCCUGACUAGAAAGGACAUUAAGAACUGACCCUGGUGAAGAAACAAAGAAUUAUACACUGGCGGGAGGACAUUUAUGGGAACCAUGCUUGGGAAUGUGGUAUUAAUUGGAUUGUGGGGUUUAUUCUACA